UGGACGUUGCCAUGGUGACGGGGGGUGAGGAGGUAUAGGAGCUUCAGACCUAAGACGUCCCCAUUAGCUUGCUUGGCGGCGGCUGGGAGGGAGAUGAAUGAGAUGAAAGGACCAGUUGGCAUCUACAGCAUCUGGAACUCGCUUCCACAAGUUGUACGGAUAUAGACUGAGUAUGUGGAAAAGCAUGUUUACAAGGUGGUGGGACAUGCACAAGAUUUACUACACUAAAGUUUACCAAGAAUUAUACGUUGGUCUUGCGUUAACCGGCUAUGUCUACUACAAACUCUCCUACGGAGGU